rnacentral:rRNA from 1 species
ACUAUGCCUAGCUAUAAACUUUAACCUACACUCAAAUCGCCAGGGAACUACGAGCCAUGCUUAAAACCCAAAGGACUUGACGGUACCCCACAUCCACCUAGAGGAGCCUGUCCUAUAAUCGAUGAUCCCCGUUCAACCUCACCCCUUCUAGCCUUUCAGCUUGUAUACUUCCGUCGUCAGCCCACCUCGUGAGUGCUACUUAGUGAGCCCUUAGCUUAAUCCACACAUACGUCAGGUCAAGGUGCAGCACAUGAAGGGGGAAGAGAUGGGCUACAUUCUCUAACUUAGAGUACACAAAUGACUGCAUGAAACCCAGUCGGAAGGCGGAUUUAGAAGUAAAAAGAAAAUAGAGUGUUCUUUUUAACUCGGCACUGGGGUGUGUACACACCGCCCGUCACCCUCCUCAAAGCCACCAGUCAGUAAUUAACACCAGAUAGCCCGCCUAAGAGGAGGU